rnacentral:rRNA from 1 species
GACGUAGGGCGCGAGCGUUGUCCGGAUUUAUUGGGCGUAAAGAGCUCGUAGGCGGCUUGUCGCGUCGUUCGUGAAAACUUGGGGCUCAACCCCAAGCUUGCGGUCGAUACGGGCAGGCUAGAGUUCGGUAGGGGAGACUGGAAUUCCUGGUGUAGCGGUGAAAUGCGCAGAUAUCAGGAGGAACACCGGUGGCGAAGGCGGGUCUCUGGGCCGAUACUGACGCUGAUGCGCGAAAGCGUGGGGAGCAAACAGG